CCUGGCACAUAGAUAGCUCUCAGUAGAUGUUUAUUUUUCCUUACUUCCUUCCUCCUUAUUUAUUUUUUAGUGCUAUGUGCAUAUUAAAUAGUAGUCAUUAAAUGGAUGCUUAUUAAAUGAGUAUUUGGAGUUCAAUUAGUAAACUGUCAAAUACUUAGAAUUAUUAAGAUUGGGAGGGAUUUAAUAAUUAUUAUUAUAAUACCUUGUGCUAGGCACUGGGAUUAGAGAAGUCCUUGUCGUAUAAUAUCUGACACGACCCUCCCCAAAUGCAUAAGGUAGGCAUUAUUUUUAUUACCCAAGAUGCAGUCUUUAUUACUCAGGGUCCACAUUUCAUUUUACAAAUUAAGAAGCUGAGGCUUAGAGGGGCCAAGUAAUUUACAUGAGGUCACAGAAUGGAAUCUUGACACCAGAACCAAACCCUUCAACUGCUAGGUUAGACUGCAGAGUCAUUGAAUAUUUUUGAUCCCCUGCAGCCCAUAAGGAAGGUAGAGCCCAGCAAUUGGAGCAUCAUUUGUUUCCUGACUGCAAAGUGAAUCAUCCUUCUUAAAGAUAGUAUAAGUAAUGUGCAGUUACGCAAAAUUGAAAGAUUUGAGACAGAGCCAUAUUGUUCUCACAGGAAAGGAUUAAGGGGUGGGGGGAUGUGGAAAAUUAGGAGCAUGGGAGGAAAAUGGAUUAAGUGACAUGUUCUAGGGCAGCCCAGAGCUGGUGGAUAACAGAAAGUUCUAAUGGGGAAUCUUACUAGGUUGUUUGCAGUUUAAGAUGAGUUAAAUCAAGUUUAGCCCAAAGCUGCCUCCUUACAUAUAUUAAGUUCAGCCUAAGGGUAUCUCUGUACACGUGAACUAUAACAAGUGGAAGUAGAAAUAGACCAUAGCCUACAUUUGUGCCAAUCAUCAAGGUUUGGCCAAUCAAAUGUAGCCAAUUGUUUGAACCGUAUUUAAAUAAGGCAAACACCGAAUUGUAACCAAUCCAGCUGUUUCUGUACCUCACUUCUUUUUUCUGUAUGUCACUUUCCUUUUCUCUCCAUAAAUCUUCUUCCCCCAUGUGGCUCUGCUGGAGUCUCUGAGCCUAUUCUGGCUCAGGAGGCUGCCCAAUUCAGGAAUCGUUCAUUGCUCAGUUAAACUAUUUUAAAUUUAAUUCAGCUGAAGUUUUUCUUUUAUCAGAUGGUGUCAGAAGUGGGAUCCGAAGUAGAGCUUCUAACAUCCCCUAGGAGCACUGAGUGACCAAGUGAGGAACUCUCUGGACUGAUUGUGUCCAUUGAUCUCUUGGAGCAGCUGGGGAUUGUGGAGGCAUUUGUUUGGGAACUGCGGCCUUGUGUGGCUCAAGCUCCAGCCGAGGAACAGAUGGUGCAGCGAGAGGGUCUUGCAGCAACUAGACCAAGAAGAAGGACACGCAGAUGCCAUUUGCUAUCAUGAGGUCUGUUUCUGCCAGCAGAAGAGUGGAGCUUCACGCCGUGACUGACAAGAUGCCUUGGCCAGCAAAGGUGAUGCAUUGAACUUAGGUGGAAUUUCAAAAGAGCUGAGGUUCCUAUAAUUGGAUGGAUAAGACAGGAUGUAGGAAGAAUAGCUCUAGGAUUAUAACUUUGACUAACUUUAUGUUCAAACUGGUGUUGCCAAGGAAAACAUGAUUACCUUUGUAAAGAUAUGGGUAGUGAUUUUUAAGAGCCUGGGAACAGAUUUAUACGUCUUCCUAAUCCUAAAACUCCCUGCCUGGUGCAAUGCCUUGUACCCAUAGGGGUUCAUACAAUGUUUGUUGAUUUAAAGUAGAUUUCAGAAAACAUUAUACAACAGUCAUUUGUCUUUAAAUCCAGUUCAGCAGCAAUUAAUAAUAAUCAUAACCCAGGCAUCUAGGCAAUUUGUGCUCAUUGUCUCAUUUAGUGCCCCAGGCGACCCUGUUGAAUGAGUACAACCUCCAUUGACGAAGUAGAAACAGCGGCUUCCAGGUGGACAGCUUGAUAAAGGCAGUGAAAGUCUGGCUCUCCUCUGCACAUAGUACUUUUGAAUGCAGAUAUGUGUAGACGUCCAUAAACAGCAGACCUCAAUUGAAAACGGGAAGCCAAGAUUUGGAGCCAGGUCUGUUUGAGCAUAAAGUGUAUUGUUUCUGUCACUCCUUUCAAAAAUGAGGCCUUUCUGAGCUUCCUCUAGUCUGCAAAGUACUGCAUGAUUGAAGAAAGAGGGAGAGAGGCUUCUUUGUCUAGAGGCCCACCAAAUUGAACUAAACAGACAGCCGAAUUUACACACGGAGUACUAGAGACUUCUGAGGAAUAGAGAUGGGUCAGAGAGCUCCCUUCAUGACUGAGCACUGUCUGUGUGUCAGGUGCUGUUCCAUGCACUGGAAACUACAGAUGCACAGCCACACUUUGGAUCCAGAGCCUCAGCCUUUUUAUGCCUUUAUUUUUGCAGCUGUGAUAUGUAUUUUUAGGAUUAUUUAAUGUAUUUCUAGACCCCAGACAAGUCAAUCUGAUUUUAAUGCUUCUCACUCGUGAUUUCCUUAUAAUUUGGUGGAUAAUUG
rnacentral:lncRNA from 10 species